CCCUGACCUAGGCAUCUGGCCACCAGAUCCUCACUUGGCUGCCUGCCCUGAGGACACGGCCGUCGGACAGGAUGUCACUGCUGGAAGCAUUUGCCUUCUUCUCCUUGUUGGCCUCUGGACUUGGAUUAUCAAAUGUGGAGCAGUCACAGAUAUCUGUAUCUGCAAAAGUAAUGGGAAGUACUGCAAUAUUUUGCAAGGUAUCAAGUACAACAUUUGACACUGAAACCAUCUACUGGUACAGGCAGAAACCAAAUCAGGGUUUGGAGCACCUGAUUCAGAUUGCCUCAAUAAAAUCCCCAGUUUACACUAGCUUCAGUGGGAAGCGCAACAAAGCUGAAGCAAAAAAGGAUUCUCAAACUCUCUCUUCAACCCUGACCAUAAACUUCCUAGAAAAAGACGAUACAGCCACUUACUACUGUGCUGGCUGGUCUCACAGUAUUUGAACUAUCAAAACAUUCUGCACAAGAUCUGUGCCCACCACAUCCUUCCCAAAAGAGGCAAGUACUUCAGCUCCCCAGCUGGGCUUCUACCCUCAGGCUUGCUUUCUCUGAAGAUCUUUCUAGGCUUUCUAGGAAGCCAUCAUGCCUUGUGCCCACACAGCA